UACGAGUGGUCCGAGCGUUAUCCGGAUUCAUUGGGCGUAAAGCGUCUGUAGGCGGCCAGCCGCAUCUUUGGUUAAAUCCCGAUGCUUAACAUCGGGACCGCUGGAGAGAUGGGCUAGCUUGAGGCUGGGAGAGGGGAACGGAAUUGCCGGUGUAGGGGUAAAAUCCGUUUAUAUCGGCAAGAACGCCAAAGGCGAAGGCAGUUCCCUGGAACAGUCCUGACGCUGAGAGACGAAAGCGUGGGGAGCGAAUGGG
rnacentral:rRNA from 1 species